AGGGCUGUAGUUCAGUGGCAGAGCACCUGUUUUGCAUGCAGAAGAUCUCAGGUUCAAUUCCUAGCAUUUCUG